rnacentral:sRNA from 1 species
GCUCUUUUAGGCGCGCUUGGUCAAAGAGGACGACCAUCCCUGAUAGAGAAGGACCGCUCUUCGGUCAAGGGUAUAAAAGCUGCGCUCCCCUGCUAGAACCUCCAAAUAAGCUCUCAAUUGCUCUUUUAGAUAUGGCCAUGGAGGACAAGA